rnacentral:misc_RNA from 1 species
AGCUUUUUGACAUUUAAUUGCGGAAAAUAUUAUUAAGAACUUCCAAUUCAACAACCAGAAAACAUAAUCAUUAUGGAAACAUUGAAGUGCAGCUAAUCUUAUGUCUUCUUGAACUGCAGCUAAUCUUAUGUCUUUCCCAAUUUACACAAUUUGCAAUUCUUUUCAUAAUCCAAAACUCAAAGAGCUGGUACCAUUAUAACUUUAAGAGA